rnacentral:misc_RNA from 1 species
AAGAGUCCACAGGCAGGUGGGGUAAAACCCACCUGCCUGCACACUCCACCCUUUGUUUACAUUACCUUUGUUGCUUUGGCAGGCCCGUCUCCGGACCACCGGCCUUGGCUGGUCAGCGCCUGCCAGAGGACCUAAAACUCUUGUUAAUAAUAUUGUCUGAGUACUAUAUAAUAGUUA